AACGAACGCUGGCGGCAUGCCUAACACAUGCCAGUCGAACGAAACCUUCGGGUCUAGUGGCGCACGGGUGCGUAACGCGUGGGAACCUGCCCUUAGGUUCGGAAUAACUCCCCGAAAGGGGUGCUAAUACCGGAUAAUGUCUUCGGACCAAAGAUUUAUCGCCUUUGGAUGGGCCCGCGUUGGAUUAGCUAGUUGGUAGGGUAAAAGCCUACCAAGGCGACGAUCCAUAGCUGGUCUGAGAGGAUGAUCAGCCACACUUGGACUGAGACACGGCCCAGACUCCUACGGGAGGCAGCAGUGGGGAAUAUUGGACAAUGGGCGGAAGCAUGAUCCAGCAAUGCCGCGUGAGUGAUGAAGGCAUUAGGGUUGUAAAGCUCUUUUAACCGGGAUGAUAAUGACAGUACCGGGAGAAUAAGCUCCGGCUAACUCCGUG
rnacentral:rRNA from 1 species